CCUACGGGGGGCAGCAGUCGAGAAUCAUUCACAAUGGGGGAAACCCUGAUGGUGCGACGCCGCGUGGGGGAAUGAAGGUCUUCGGAUUGUAAACCCCUGUCAUGUGGGAGCAAAUUAAAAAGAUAGUACCACAAGAGGAAGAGACGGCUAACUCUGUUCCAGCAGCCGCGGUAAUACAGGGGUCUCAAGCGGUGUUCGGAAUCACUGGGCGUAAAGGGUGCGGAGGCUGUUUCGUAAGUCGUGUGUGAAAGGCGCGGGCUCAACCCGCGGACGGCACAUGAUACUGCGAGACUAGAGUAAUGGAGGGGGAACCGGAAUUCUCGGUGUAGCAGUGAAAUGCGUAGAUAUCGAGAGGAACACUCGUGGCGAAGGCGGGUUCCUGGACAUUAACUGACGCUGAGGCACGAAGGCCAGGGGAGCGAAAGGGAUUAGAUACCCUUGUAGUC
rnacentral:rRNA from 1 species